GCAGUGGGGAAUUUUGGACAAUGGGCGAAAGCCUGAUCCAGCAAUGCCGCGUGUGUGAAGAAGGCCUUCGGGUUGUAAAGCACUUUUGUCCGGAAAGAAAUCCUUGGCUCUAAUACAGUCGGGGGAUGACGGUACCGGAAGAAUAAGCACCGGCUAACUACGUGCCAGCAGCCGCGGUAAUACGUAGGGUGCGAGCGUUAAUCGGAAUUACUGGGCGUAAAGCGUGCGCAGGCGGUUUGCUAAGACCGAUGUGAAAUCCCCGGGCUCAACCUGGGAACUGCAUUGGUGACUGGCAGGCUAGAGUAUGGCAGAGGGGGGUAGAAUUCCACGUGUAGCAGUGAAAUGCGUAGAGAUGUGGAGGAAUACCGAUGGCGAAGGCAGCCCCCUGGGCCAAUACUGACGCUCAUGCACGAAAGCGUGGGGAGCAAACAGGAUUAGAUACCCUGGUAGUCCACGCCCUAAACGAUGUCAACUAGUUGUUGGGGAUUCAUUUCCUUAGUAACGUAGCUAACGCGUGAAGUUGACCGCCUGGGGUGUACGGUCGCAAGAUUAAAACUCAAAGGAAUUGACGGGGACCCGCACAAGCGGUGGAUGAUGUGGAUUAAUUCGAUGCAACGCGAAAAACCUUACCUACCCUUGACAUGGUCGGAAUCCCGCUGAGAGGUGGGAGUGCUCGAAAGAGAACCGGCGCACAGGUGCUGCAUGGCUGUCGUCAGCUCGUGUCGUGAGAUGUUGGGUUAAGUCCCGCAACGAGCGCAACCCUUGUCCUUAGUUGCUACGCAAGAGCACUCUAAGGAGACUGCCGGUGACAAACCGGAGGAAGGUGGGGAUGACGUCAAGUCCUCAUGGCCCUUAUGGGUAGGGCUUCACACGUCAUACAAUGGUCGGAACAGAGGGUUGCCAACCCGCGAGGGGGAGCUAAUCCCAGAAAACCGAUCGUAGUCCGGAUUGCACUCUGCAACUCGAGUGCAUGAAGCUGGAAUCGCUAGUAAUCGCGGAUCAGCAUGCCGCGGUGAAUACAAUUCCGGGCCUUGUACACACCGC
rnacentral:rRNA from 1 species